AGAUUGUAAGCCAUCAUGUGGGUCGUGGGAACCAGACCCAGGGCCUCUGGAAGAGCAGUCAGUACCCUUAAUCACUGGCCCAUCUCUCCAGCCACUUUAUUUUUAAAUUAGAGUAUGUUAGUUUAACAUGGGAAUGAGUUUCAUUGUGGUAUUUUCAUAUGGAUAUGUAAUGUACAUUGGUCAUAAUUCUCCCUCCUAUUUGUCUCCUUCUACAUCACUAAUAGUUUCUGUCCCUCAACUUUAAUAUCAUGUCUUUUUUAAUUCCUCUAAAUUCCACACAAAAGAGAAAAUAAAAGGCUUAUUAUGUUUUUAGAUUUGAAGGGAACUAGACCUACCAAGGACACAAGUCUCUGGGUAUGACUACAAGGGACUGUUUAGGUGUUGAUAAUUGAGGUGUGAUGACCUACCUAGAAUAUGACUGGCACCAUUACAUGGGCAACAGUCCUGGACUGAAUGAGAAGGAAAGGUAGGAUGAACAUACAUAUUUAUUUUUCUCUGCUUCUUGAGUACAGAUACAAUAUAAGCAGCUGCCUCAUGCUGUUUUCACCAUGACUUCCUCACUAUAAAAGACUGUGAGGUAAACCUUGAGAACUCUGAGCCAAAACAAACCCUUUCUCUCUUAAGUUUCCUUUGUCAGGUAUUCUAUUAUAUUAACAAGACAAAAGUCUAAUAGUCUUGUCUUCCUGAGUCUGGCUUAUUUCACCUUACAGGGUGAUCUCAAUUUCUAUUGAAUUUCCUGCAGAUGACAAAAUUUCAUUCCUUUUGGUUUUUUUUGGCUGAAUAGAACCCUUAGGUAAAUAUAUACUACAUUUUUAAGGAUAUAUUUUAUUAUUAAUUGUGUGUGUGUGUGUGUGUGUGUGUGUGUGUGUGUGUGUGUACGCUCACAUGUGCAUGCAUGUACCAACACACAUGUAUAUACAUGAAUGCAGGUUCCUCCUGAAGCUGGAAGAGGAAAUUGGAUUCCUCAGAGAUGGAGUUAUACACCUGGCUAAUAUGGGUACUAAGAACAGGUUUCCAGUCCUCUAAAAGAGCAAGAAUUGCUGUUAACUGUUGAGUCAUCUCUCCAGCCCUCUACCACAUUUUAUUAAUCCAUCUGCUGACGGGCACCAAAGUUAAUCUCUUCAUUUAAAUAUAUAAACAGUACUAUAGUAGGAAAUUACCAAUAUGGAGUCAGGUAGAAAUAUAAGGGUAUUUAAUGGCUACAGCUUCCCCUACACAGUACUAUAAUAAACAUGUGUGAGACAUGUUACAUUGAUUUGAUUCUUUUUGCAUACAUGAAGAUGUGAUAGAGCUGAAAUGCUUUAUAAGUCUAUUUUUUUAGUGUUUUGAGGAAAGACCAUCCUAAUUUCUAUACUUACUGGAAUAAUUCAUGUUCUUACCAGAAUUUUACAACUUUUAAAAAUACCUUACAUCUUCAUCAACAUUUACCAUUAUCUACUUUCUUAAUUAUAAUCAUUUUGACUACUCUAUUUACUUUUUGUUUGUUUUAAGCUAGACUAGUUAUAUUGUGCAGGCCAUCCUGCACUCAUAAUCCUUUUUCUUCACUCAGCCUAUGCUAGGAUGGCAGGCCAGCAGUACAUUCUCCAUGUAAUGUUGAUUUAUAUGUGUCUGGUAGUUAAAGGCCUUGAACAUUUUUCAUUUAGAUUUGACCAUUUGUUCUCCCUUGUUUGAAGAUGGAUGUUCACUUCAUUUGCUCGUUCAUUAAUUAAGAUAUUUGCUCAUUGGUAUUUGUUCACUUUUUUAUGUCCUGGUUAUUAAUUUCUCUCUCAAUCUUAAAUAUUUACUUUUCCUCUUGAGUUGUUGAGAACAGGAUUCUUUCUAAUUUCUUUCACAGUGAGUCAUUUCCCCCUAUACUUGCAUUUCUUUUUAUAAAUAUGUAUUAUCUUCCUUACAGCUAUCAUAGUGUGCAUGAAUUAUGAUCUCACAGUGGUGUUUAUUUGCAAUUCUGCAGUCACAGAUGUUGUUUAGUAUCUCUUUAUGUGACAGGUAACAAUUUGCAUAUCUUCAUUGUAGAAGUUUCUAUUUAAAUAUUUUGCUUAUUCUAAUUUUUUGAUUUUUCAGUUAUUGAAUCUUUUGUCUUGUUUAUGCAUUGUGAAUUUAAGUCCUUUAUUUUAUAUAUGAUUUAUCAAUAGUUUCUCUUCUAAGUUUUUUCUCCAUUGAUAAAUUGAAACACAAGAUACUUUACUUUUUAUUAUAUUCACUGUAUUUAAUUCACUUUUAUUACUGAGCUUUUUGGUGCCACAUGUAAGAAACAAUCUUUUUCUUAUUUAUUUAUUUUACAUACUGACUGCAUUUUCCCCACCCUCCUCUCCUCCCAUCCCCUUCCUCCACCCCCCCCAAUACACUCCUCUGUUUCCUUUCAGAAAGGUGCAGGCCACACAGGAUUAUCAACAAAGUAUGGGAUAUCAAGUUAAAGCAAGACAUGCACCUCCUUCGUGUUUAGGCUGGGCAAGGCAAUCCAAUAUGAGGAAUAGGUUCCCAUGAGCCAGCCAAAGCAUUAGGGACAGCCCCUGCUCAUAUUGUUAGAUGCCCCAUAAAUAGACCAUGUUUAUCUGUCACUUAUCUGUAAAGGGCUUAUAUAGGUCCCAUGCAGAAACCUGGUUGUUGGUUCAGACUCUCUGAGUUUCUAUGAGUCAGUUGUUUCUAUGAGUUAGUUGUUUCUGUGAGUUUUUUGUGAUGUCCUUGACCCCUCUGUCUCCUACAACCCUUCCACCCUCUCUUCUUCAGUUACUGGAUGAAGUCUCUCUGAUAACAAUUGGACUAGUCACCAAUCUGAUCACAGGAGAUGGCAAGUUCAGCCUACGUAUCCACUAUUGCUAGGAGUCUUAGCUGGGGUCUUACUUGUAGAUUCCUGGGAGUUUCCCUUUUAUCAGGUUUCUACCUGUCCCCAUGUAAAGUUUUUCCUUUCUAGUCAUCUCUUUCAGUACGCUCCCCUCCAGACACACACCCCAAACAAUUCCCUCAAGUUCCUGUCCCCACCUGCCUAGUUGUCAGGAUGGCUGAAGGGCCUCAGUUGCUGCAUUCAGAAACCAUCACUUAAUGCAAGGUCAUAAAGAUUUAUUCCUAUCAUUUUAAAAAUAAAAGUUUCAGUUUUAUGCAUUUGAGAUUUUGUUCCUUUAUAAGUGAAUUGCUGAAUGCCAUAUGAAAUAUGGGUCCUAUUUCCUUUAUCCGCAUGUAAUAGUCUGUAAAAUACCAUUUGUUGAAAAUAUUAUUCUUCCUUCAGUACAUUCCUUGGAAUAUUUUUGAAAAUCAGUUCACUGUAAACAUAAAAAGUAAUUUUUGAAUUCUCAAUUUUGUUCUCCUGAUACCUAUAUAACAUUAUCUCACCAUCCUGAUUGCUAUAACUUUGUAGUAAAUUUUAAAUAGGUAUUUGUGCAUCAGAUGUUUUCAUUGUACAAGAAUGAUUUUGUUCUUAUGCAUUCCUCAGAUAUUCAUGCAAAUUCUGGGAUCAGCUGUUCAGUUUGGAUAAAAAUAGCCAGUCAGAAGUUUGAUAAGGAUUCCAUUGAUAUAUACCUACCUAUUGUGAAGAGCUUUAACAUCUUAAUAUUUUACCCUCUAAUCUAAGAAUAUGGGAAAAGCAGGAUAUCUUUCAGCUUAUUUACAUUUCAUUUAAUUUUUCAACAAUGAUUCACAGACUUCAAGCACAUUCCCUUUAGUUAAAUUGCUAUCUGUUGAAUUCAAAUUCAAAAAUGCUGCUUCUCAGAGGAAGUUUCCAUUGCCAGUAUUUUCUCCUGUGGAUUUCUGCAUGCGUCACAUGGUUUGAGGCAUUCUAAAACUCACAGCUUUUAUCUGUAUUAGACGUUCGGAAACACAGAUGUUAAAUGGGUAACUACAGAACUCUAGGUGUAAUAGACUGAACUAACUGGAGAAGAUUAGUUCAGCUAAGCCUAAAUGCUAUGGGGUUUAACACACUAAAGCUCAAUUUCUUGGGAAACCAAGCUGAACAUGGAUGACACAUGGAUUCAUUCCAGGCUGGGUGUAUUUGCUGCCAGAAGAGGGUACGAGAUCUCAUCAUGGAUGGAAUUUAACUCAGAACCUCAGGAAGAGAAACCAGUGCUCUUAACCUCUGAACCAUCUCUCCAGCCCAAGCCACCCGAUUCUUAACCCUAAAAAUAUCAACUCCAGUAGAGUCUUUAAAGAACCCUCAAAGUCUGCUCUGAAACUUCAGAAGCCAGGCCUUCAUUAUCUGCAUUGCUCUCAACAUUCUUAUCCUUUAAAUAUUCCACAGAACAGUUCAGUAAGCUCUGAACCCUCAAUGGUUUUUCCAGCCCAAAGUUGCAAAAUGUUACCACAGUCCUCACAAAACAUAUGUUUAUGUCUGUCACAACAAUUCCCCGUGAACUGAUGCCCACUUCUGUCUUAGGGCUUCUACUACUGUGAUAAAACACCAUGACCAAAAUCAAUGUUGGAAGGAAUGAGUUGAUCUCAUCUUACAGCUCUCAGGUCACAUUCUAUCACUGAGGGAAGUCACCUCAGAUACUUAGAGGCACUAAAUGGAGCAGAAGCCAUGGAGGAGUGAUGAUUACUUACUUGCUCUCUAUGGAUUGCUCAACUUGCCUUCUUACAAUGCCAAGGACCACUUUCCAGGAGUGGUAAAAGCCACAGUAAACUGUGUCCUCCCACAUCAAUCAUCAACCAAGAAAAUGCAUCACAGACUUGUCUUCAGGUCAGGUUUGUGGGGACGUUUUUCUCAAUUAAGGUUCCUUUUUCCCAAACAACUCUAGCUUGUGGCAAGGUAACAUAAUUCUAGCCAAAAUAUGUGUGCUAAUCAUAAAUUAUUUUUGAAGUGUGCUAUGUGUCAUUGGAAAGUGAAUAAAAGGCAAGUAGUAGAAGAUGAUAUAUAAUGAAGGGCCAGAUCAUACAACAUCUUUGAACUCAUUCUUCAAAUCAUAAAUACCUAGCGUUGUGUUGUGUAGAUGUAUGUGUAUGUGUACAUAUAUAAACAUUACAUAUAUUGAUAUUUUCCCUCAUAUAUAAGAGAGAUCAACAAUUUAACUUGAGGUAUCUGUAAAUAAAGCAAGGCAAUCUGGAUUUUUAAUGAUGCUCCUAUGGAAGAUAUUUAAAUACAUCUUUGCUAGAACAGUUGACUUCCUGAUUGUGUCCAAAGGCAACUAAAAGAAGAAGAAAGGGCAACCUCCUCACCUUGACUCACUCUGCAAAGGUAUUUUGAGCAUUCAGAGUGUCCAUCUAAACUGUUAAUUGAGAUCAUGAUAGACUCUCCACUAAAUUACCUCAUAUAGCAUAAAAAUGUUUUUUAUGUUGUUUCUUGCCCUAGACUGUUUUAUUAUACAGAAUAGUUCUGGUAUAUAUUUGUGAGACAAGGUAACUGCAACAUUUGGAUAGACCUAGAAAUUUCACCAUCUGUCAGGCAUCACCCAUCCAACACAGAAAAAUCAAUGACAUAUUCUUAGGGAAAAGAAGUAAAUUACCCUGAAAGUUUAUUGAGAUAAUAGAAACUGUGGGGUACAAGAGUAUAUUAAAAUUCUACCUGGAAACAAGGCUCAAGAACUUUUCAGACACACCACACAGAGAAAAUGGUGCAAUUCCCUUGUCUGUAUCUCACAAGUGGAUGGACAAUAAUGGCAUGGUCCCAUAGCAACUUGAAAUUUUAUGUGUGUGUCAAGGAUUGCCUUCAUAUCUAUUCGGUCCCCUGGUGUUUAUGUGGCCUACCUAACUGCUUUUUUGUCCAUUUAUUGGCUCAUGUGAACACGGCCUGAACCUGCAAUUUGCUGCUUUAGACCUAGUUUGGCCUUUCACCUCACAGCUGAAGUCUGCUGCUGUUGUUCUCAAACCCUGACUCCAGCAGCUGCAGCUCCCUGCAGGCAUUAGUCACUUUGGUCAUCUUACCAUUACAUACUCUCCUCAUCCACUUCUGAAAUGUCACCAACUCUGUUGUAGACUUUUUAAUUUGUAUUCAUUUUGUGAAUCAUAUAUGCAUAGAGAUAUGUUUGCUGUGGAAUAUUAGUAACCAAGAUUAAAAUAAAAUAAAUUGCCUUCACCUUGA